rnacentral:lncRNA from 1 species
UUUUUCCUCUUCUAGUCAGUGUCUCAUUCCCCAGCCGCUCAUCAGAAGAUAGCGAAAUAUAAGGGGAAGUUUAAGUUUUAUUUUAUAGUGAUUAAAGUACGGUGAGGUUUAAAAAUACUGAAGGUGGAAUUUUCAUAGCUACCAAACGUUGAAAAUAACACAACAUAUUUCAACUAAAAAUGAAGCAAGGCGGGUAACUGUCGGUUCUUGGGGAAAAGCUGUGCUUCAGAGACAAGGUUGAAGAACUUCGCCUGCAUAUGAUGGAAGAUGACAAUGGGAACCACAGGUGUCAUUGGUGGCUUUGUUUUACAAAGUCUUCACCUUUCUGCUGAGUCACGGGACCAAGUUCAACACAAUUUCUACUUUCCGCCUUCCUUUGGAAAAAUAGUUUUGGAAGCCAAGUAUUAGUAUAUGAUAUCAGGUGUGUUUUCUAAAGAUUCAGGUUCAGUGGGCUGAAUGCACUUUCGUGACUUCAUUAGACCACUGAGCCCAAGGAGAAAAGUGCCAAUCUUACUAGACAUGAGGAAAAAGACACAUCUUUUGCUCUUGCUGGAAGUGGUGUCCUACUUUCUACAAGCAGU